rnacentral:rRNA from 1 species
GCCCAAAACAUCUAGCCUCGCCACACCCAUAAGGGCCUUCAGCAGUGAUUAACAUUAAAAAUAAACGUCAGUUUGAUUUAGUUAAUGAAAAUAGAGUCGGCCAAUCUGGUGCCAGCCGCCGCGGUUACACCAAAGGACUCGAAUUGAUAUACUCGGCGUAAAGUGUGAUUUAAGAAAACAGUUUCUGGAGUUAAACUUGAACUAAACUGUAAUACGCCUGUUCUUAAGAAAAUCAAUACCGAAAGACACCCCAACUUAUCAACUUGAAUUCACGACACCCGGGGCACAAACUAGGAUUAGAUACCCUACUAUGCCCGGCUAUAAACUUUUAACUUACCUCGCUAUCGCCAGGGAACUACGAGCAAAGCUUAAAACCCAAAGGACUUGACGGUGCCUCACAUUCCCCCUAGAGGAGCCUGUCCUACAACCGAUACCCCCCGUUCUACCCCACCAUUCUUAGUUUUUCAGCCUGUAUACUUCCGUCGCCAGCUCACCGCAUGAGCGAAACUAAGUGAGCUAAAUGUUUGCCACCAAUACGUCAGGUCAAAGUGCAGCAAAUAAAAUGGUAAGAGAUGGGCUACACUUUCUAUUAUAGAAAACACGGAAAACUAUAUGAAAUUAUAAUUAAAGGUGGAUUUAGUAGUAAGAAGUAAUUAGAAUAUUCUUCUUAACUUAGCACUGAGGCAUGUACACACCGCCCGUCACCCUCUU